UACAGGGGGUGCAAACGUUGCUCGGAAUCAUUGGGCGUAAAGCGCACGUAGGCGGUCUGUUAUGUCGGAUGUGAAAGCCCUUGGCUCAACUGAGGAAGUGCAUCCGAAACUGGCAGGCUAGAGUACUAAAGAGGAUCGCGGAAUUCCCGGUGUAGAGGUGAAAUUCGUAGAUAUCGGGAGGAAUACCAGUGGCGAAGGCGGCUUCUUGGCCUGUUCUUGACGCUGAGGCGCGAAAGCUGGGGGAGCAAACGGG
rnacentral:rRNA from 1 species